rnacentral:rRNA from 1 species
UAGGGAAUCUUCGGCAAUGGGGGGAACCCUGACCGAGCAACGCCGCGCGAGUGAAGAAGGUUUUCGGAUCGUAAAGCUCUGUUGUUAAGGAAGAACGAGUGUGAGAAUGGAAAGUUCAUACUGUGACGGUACUUAACCAGAAAGGGACGGCUAACUACGUGCCAGCAGCCGCGGUAAUACGUAGGUCCCGAGCGUUGUCCGGAUUUAUUGGGCGUAAAGCGAGCGCAGGCGGUUAGAAAAGUCUGAAGUGAAAGGCAGUGGCUCAACCAUUGUAGGCUUUGGAAACUGUUUAACUUGCGUGCAUAAGGGGAGAGUGGAAUUCCAUGUGUAGCGGUGAAAUGCGUAGAUAUAUGGAGGAACACCGGUGGCUAAAGCGGCUCUCUGGUCUGUAACUGACGCUGAGGCUCGAAAGCGUGGGGAGCGAACAGG